AAGCUUUGCUUCUUUCAAAUCUAGUGGCAAACGGGUGAGUAACNCGUAAACAACCUGCCUUCAGGAUGGGGACAACAGACGGAAACGACUGCUAAUACCGAAUACGUUCCUUAGGUCGCAUGAUCUUAGGAAGAAAGGGUGGCCUCUACCUGUAAGCUAUCGCUUUGAGAUGGCCUCGCGUCCGAUUAGCUGGUUGGUGAGGUAACGGCCCACCAAGGCGACGAUCGGUAGCCGGACUGAGAGGUUGAACGGCCACAUUGGGACUGAGACACGGCCCAAACUCCUACGGGAGGCAGCAGUGGGGAAUCUUCCGCAAUGGGCGCAAGCCUGACGGAGCAACGCCGCGUGAGUGAAGAAGGUUUUCGGAUCGUAAAGCUCUGUUGAGAGGGACGAGAGAUAUAAUCAGGAAAUGGGUUAUGGAGGACGGUACCUUUCGAGGAAGCCACGGCUAACUACGUG
rnacentral:rRNA from 1 species